CGCCUGCUCUCCGCCGCUUUGUGUGUCCCGGUGGUGGCGCAGCGCCUCUCUGAGUGUUAGCGGUUCUCUGAGUGUUAGCGGUUCUCUCAGUGUUAGCGCCUCUCUCAGUGUUAGCGGUUCUCUGAGUGUUAGCGGCUCUCUCAGUGUUAGCGGCUGUGAGGCUGAAUGAACCAACAACAUCCUCCUCACACGGCUGCUUCAGUUCUACCUAGCUAAUAACGCUGCUAGAUGUUUUCUGCACUGGGGGACAUUGUGGCGACACGAGGGUAGUCAGAGUAAAGGUGGAAAGACGUGUGUGGUUAAUUUACGGAGCCAUACAUUCACAUUGGGGAGGAACCGCGAAUUAGGAUUUAUUUCCAGACAAACAGCGUGUUGGAGCAGAUGGCUGGACACGGACGGCGUCUUUAUCUCCGUCAGGACAAAGUCCGUAGUUUUUUGUGUUGAGGGAGAUAAAACACGAUUGAGCAGUUUUAGGUCACUGGUGGAAGUUUAAAAAUUAUAUAGACCCACGAGAAGUUGGUAGUUUGUGUAGUUUGUAGGCGUGUUGGGAAGUCGGCUGGGUUUGGGGAAUGGCUUUGUUUGGAUUCCAUCCUCCACCCAACUGGAGGAGUUGUGGUGGGGGGAUGACAUGGUGGUUUCCAUUGGUUGAGUCAAAGCCUGUGCUGGGUAAUGGAUCAUGGAAACAUUUACUCUCCCGGAGAUCUUCCACGGUAUUCUGAGUCAUGUCCUUCACGAAUCGCAAUUUACUUUGGUGCUUUUUUCUUUAUGUUUUUCCAUUAAUUGUGUAAAAAUCAGUAGUUGAUGAAAAAGUGGUGCAGUUCAGUGUUAAAACAAUGAAUUGUUGAGUUGGUGAGAUAUUUAACACAAUAAAUAAUGCCUUCAAAGGUUUACAGAUACACAGUUUGUAGUUUUGCACCUCAUGAUUCUGCUGUAGGAACAUGUAAAGCUCCAGUACGUUUGUAUUUAAACCAAUCACAGUCGUCUUGGGCGGAGCUAAAAACAGGCUGCAGACAUGGUGUUUUUAUAAGGUGAUAGGGGGGAUUGUUUCAGGCAGGGCGGUCAGCACUGUCAUUAUUUAGACGGUACUUCACAUAUAGUGUAAGAGGAGGCGAAAUACACAGCCAAGGGAAGACUUUUACCUGCACCCUACAUCCAGUGAGUUUGACCAAGAGGUACCAAGAUACAUGCCUUUAAGUGUCUAAAACCUGCAUUCUUCCUAACAGCCAGCAGGGGGCGACUCAUUUUUUGUGAAAAGAAGUUAGAUUGUAUAGAAAUCAAUGACAAAAUGACCCUACUUCUCCCUCAUUGUGUUACCUUACACAACAUUCUUCUAUUGAGUUUAUGGUCUCAAUCACUAGUUUCAAGUCUAUAUCAGCGCAGCAUGGGUUUUAUUUUGUAAAUCGUGGUCCCAUCUUGAAUAAAAUUGACAAUAGAACAGAGAAUGUUUUAGGGCGGGGCUACCUUGUGACAGAUCACUGCUGGAUGGCUGUCAAGUGUAAAGGUGUUCAGUGAAGAGUUGUUUUUUAGUAUUCUCUUAUAGACUGAGAGAGACUGCAGAUCAGAGUUUGGUAACUCGUUCCACCACCUGUUGUGGGGUUGUAUCAGGCGCCUUUUGUUGGCUGAGCGUACUAAGCGGGAGGGAGUGUAGACCUGAAUGAGAGAGUUCAGGUAGGAGGAAGCUGUUGUCAUUGUAUCAUUGUAGUUUUGAGUGCAAGUGUAAGAGUUUCAAAUUGUAUGCAGGCAGCAACUGGAAGCCACUGAAGUGAUCUGAGGGUGAUGUGCUGCUUUUGAUGGUUGAAAACCAGACGUGCUGCUGUAUUCUGGAUCAUCUGCAGAGGUUUGAUUGUGCAUGUGGUCCUGCCAGUAAGGACUUGCAGUAGUUGAUGCGUGAUAUUAUGAGAGCCUGUACCAGGAGUUGUGCUGCAUGUUCAGACAGGAAGGGUCUGAUCUUCUUGAUGUCGUACAGGGCAAAACGGCUCGACUGAGCAACAGAGGCCACAUGAGCUUUGAAGGUUAGUUGGUCAUUGAUCAUGACGCCCAAGUUUCUGGCAGACUUUGUGGGUGUGAGUUGGGUUUAUUCAAGCUGGAAGUUGAUUUCUUGUUGUAUAGAGGGGCUAGCUGGGAUGACAAGGAGCUCAGUCUUGGAGGGGUUGACUUGAUGCCAAUAGUGCUCGGCUAAGACUAUCAGUUGCCAUGUUUACAUGAGACCUUUAAUUCCUCUUUAAUUCAGAAUUAAAAUUAAUUCCGCUUUAAAAUCUCCUUGUAAACACUUAAUUCCGAAUUAAAAAGUUAAAUCCAAAUAAACUUAAUUCCGAAUAAACUACCUGGUUUAGUCCGAUGUUAAUUCCAAAUAAACUAAUUCCUGUGUACGUUCUAUUCAUGUAUACAGUUAAUUCCGCUUUAGUUAAUUCCAGUCAUUCUGUGUAUGCUUGGCUCCUCACGUAGCGAUGACGUAGCAACGUACACAGCUUGGUCUUCUGCCUCCCUUCUCUGGUAUUCUAUCUCUCUUCUCCUUCUCAAGUGACGCAACAGAAGUAGUACGCCAUUGUUGAGUUGCUGUUUCGAAACGACAAUAAAAAGCAAAGCAAAAAGCGUGCUUAUUAGUUGUUCUUCCAUGUUGUUGUGGAAAAAAAAUGCCGCGGCAAAGGCAGUUUGUUUUCUUCCGGUAAACAGGGAUACGUCACGUCCACUCCCUGUCCAAUCAGAAUCCUUUCCAACGCCCAAGCGUUAAAGUGGCAUUAAGAAAGGGGAAUAAACGUGCGGUCCAUGUAAACCUUAAUUCAGAAUUAAUAUGCCCAUGUAAACGCGAAGCACAAAACUUUAAUUCCGAAUGAGUUAAUUCCGAAUUAAUAAUUCCGAAUUAAAAAACUUCAUGCAAACAUGGCCACUAUGAGGUUUGCUGUACCUCUAAAGGCUGGAAUAUACUUUCCGCACGAACGAGCCGCGCUGAAAUCAGCCGCACGGAAAUCCGUGCGAGAGAACGUGUGUGCAUUUAUACUCCGUGCGCGUCUGCUCCCAAACUGCAGGGGGCAGUGUAUCUCAAACACACGUCUACCUGGCCUACUCUAGUAAUAAACUAGAGAAGAAGAAGUCUGCUUCCAAACUGCAGGGGGCAGUGUAGCUCAAGCACACGUCUACCUGGUCUACUCUGGUACGAAACUAGAGAAGAAGAAGUUUGCCAUGGUUUACACCACUUACAACACGGCAUUUUACCGAAUAAAAGCAUUUCAGCAGUUAGUUUUAUUUCACACCAUGAAUACUUCAUAACCCGGUUACCACGGUGAUCUCUGUGUGAUGAAUUGUAUAAGUUCACGUAUUUCUAGACUUCAGCUACGAGUAGGUCCUGGCCCUCCGCCAUGUUUUUCCGUGCGGCUCCGUCCGCGUUGGUUAGAAAAAUGUGGAGGUGCGCGGAGCGGAAAUUUUCCGCAUGGAAAGGCCGCUGGAGGGGCGUACCUGCGAAAAUGACGUAAUUUUUCCGCACGGAGCCGCACGGACCUCGCGGACGCGGUAAGCAUAAAACAAGCUUUAGAGUCAGUCUCGUUGCCGUGCGGCUCCUCAUAAAUGAUGCCGGCUUUUGCGAGAGCUCGAACAACAGUGCAAGCAGACACGUUAGCCCAAGCAUCCGCAAUCCAGUCACAAAUUGUGGCGUAACUCGCCCGGCGCUGCCUCCCAGUCUUAAUAAAACUGUGUUCGCCAUCUGUCAUCCAUCGCUCCCACGCCGUUCGCAACUUCACUUUGAACGCCCUGUUUACACCGAUGUCCAGCGGUUGGAGUUCCUUCGUCAAGCCUCCCGGAAUGAUAGCAGGCUCCGAGUUCAUUUGCUGCACUUGGUUUUUCACAGCGGCUGUGAGAUGGACGCGCAUGGAGUCACAGAUCAACAGGGACGGUGACGCCAAACCGAUGUUGUUUUGCAUAAUGCACAUACCAGCACUAUAUACCAACUGGGGGCAUGCCUUUAGCAUCUUCUUUCACGCCCACACUUCUCCCUUUAACGUUCUCAUACUGUCCUCUGUCACGUCUGCCUUUUCUCUAUAUAAGCAGCGUGUCGGCAGGAAAUGCUCUCAGUCAGUCAAGCGGAGCUCAUCAAAGUCACACAAUAACAUUUACAGAUUUUGGAACUCGGUGUAUGGAGGACUAAAAGUGCCAAAAUUAAAUAAAUAAAUACAUCAUUAAAUAAUUAAUUAAAUAUGUCAUUAAUUAAUUAAAAUUGGAAUUAAAUAUUUCAUUAAUUAAUUAAAAUUGGAAUUAAAUAUGUCAUUAAUUAAUUAAAAUUGGAAUUAAAUACUUAAAUGUGUUAUUAAAUAAAUAUAUCAUUAAAUAAUUAAAUAUGUCAUUAAUUAGUUAAAAUUGGAAUUAAAUAUGUCAUUAAUUAAUUAAAAUUGGAAUUAAAUACAUAAAUGUGUUAUUAAAUAUGUCAUUAAUUUAUUAAAAUAACAAUUAUUUUAAGUAAAAAACAUAUUUCAUUAUUUCACGAUUUAAUUAAUUAUUUCAUGGUCCUUGUGUUGCAGUGGAUCAUGAAUUAAUUUUAUCUGUCAACCUCGCCCGUCAAAGUCGGUGGGCGGAUCCUAACACCUGAUUGGUUACCCUGCACAUCAAGUCAAGGCAAAUCGAUUCCAGAUAAUGGAUUGACGCAGAGCUUGUGAACACAUUCCGAUACACUGGGUGGCGCUAUUCACCUCUACGUUGGUUUGGAUACUCAAUAAAACAAAACUUUAUUAGCAACCGCUAAAGACUCGGUCCUCUUUCCCAAAUGUUGAUACAUGCGGUGCAAGACAAAUUUUCCUUUAGCAUUUCCUUUAGCAUCUACUCGGCGCGCCACGGCUCGUCUCGGUUUAGUUGUUUUUCCAUUACAUUGAGAACCACCUCAUCGUGGGUGGAGUCGUCAUAGCACGGCGGUCCGAAAGUCCCUUACCGUCAUUUCUGUGCGACACAAACGCAAUGCAACAAUGUACAUGGAGGCGAUAGUACACCUGCUGCUCGGUCUGUGGCUUUCUGUCAGAUUCAGAGUAAUAGAAGAGUCGGAGAAAGCUGAGAGCGACGAGUCGAAACACUGAGGAGACACACAGGAGAGUUUGGGAGGCGAUAAAGCAGUAUCAAGCCGAAGACAAGAGGAUAUGAACGAGACGACAUAUGAGGAUGCUCUCUGAUGAGACUUCAUGGGAUUUACCUGAAGCAGCAGCACAUGAGCCUGCAGUGGCACAAGGUGUAGAGGAGGAGGACAGAGAUGUACAGGAUGCACUGAUGCACUACGUGUCAUGCAAAGUUAUUCUUCUUGUUAUACUUCUGUUUUUCGGUCCCCGGACCGCUAUUGUUUUCUUUAAUGCAAUUCUGACAAUAAACUUUUGUAGAUGUGUCUA